rnacentral:rRNA from 1 species
ACGAACGCUGGCGGCGUGCUUAACACCUGCAAGUCGAACGGAAAGGCCCUGCUUUUGUGGGGUGCUCGAGUGGCGAACGGGUGAGUAACACGUGAGUAACCUGCCCUUGACUUUGGGAUAACUUCAGGAAACUGGGGCUAAUACCGGAUAGGAGCUCCUGCUGCAUGGUGGGGGUUGGAAAGUUUCGGCGGUUGGGGAUGGACUCGCGGCUUAUCAGCUUGUUGGUGGGGUAGUGGCUUACCAAGGCUUUGACGGGUAGCCGGCCUGAGAGGGUGACCGGCCACAUUGGGACUGAGGUACGGCACAGACUCCUACGGGAGGCAGAAGUGGGGAAUCUUGCACGAUGGGCGGAAGCCUGAUGCAGCAACGCCGCGUGCGGGAUGACGGCCUUCGGGUUGUAAACCGCUUUCGCCUGUGACGAAGCGUGAGUGACGGUAAUGUGUAAAGAAGCCCCGGCUAACUACGUG